UGGGGAAUAUUGGACAAUGGGCGAAAGCCUGAUCCAGCCAUGCCGCGUGUGUGAAGAAGGUCUUCGGAUUGUAAAGCACUUUAAGUUGGGAGGAAGGGCAGUAAGCGAAUACCUUGCUGUUUUGACGUUACCGACAGAAUAGGCACCGGCUAACUCUGUGCCAGCAGCCGCGGUAAUACAGAGGGUGCAAGCGUUAAUCGGAAUUACUGGGCGUAAAGCGCGCGUAGGUGGUUCGUUAAGUUGAAUGUGAAAGCCCCGGGCUCAACCUGGGAACUGCAUCCAAAACUGGCGAGCUAGAGUAGGGCAGAGGGUGGUGGAAUUUCCUGUGUAGCGGUGAAAUGCGUAGAUAUAGGAAGGAACACCAGUGGCGAACGCGACCACCUGGGCUCAUACUGACACUGAGGUGCGAAAGCGUGAGGAGCAAACAGG
rnacentral:rRNA from 1 species